rnacentral:rRNA from 1 species
AUUGAACGCUGGCGGCAGGCCUAACACAUGCAAGUCGAACGGUAACAGGAAGCAGCUUGCUGCUUUGCUGACGAGUGGCGGACGGGUGAGUAAUGUCUGGGAAACUGCCUGAUGGAGGGGGAUAACUACUGGAAACGGUAGCUAAUACCGCAUAACGUCGCAAGACCAAAGAGGGGGACCUUCGGGCCUCUUGCCAUCGGAUGUGCCCAGAUGGGAUUAGCUAGUAGGUGGGGUAACGGCUCACCUAGGCGACGAUCCCUAGCUGGUCUGAGAGGAUGACCAGCCACACUGGAACUGAGACACGGUCCAGACUCCUACGGGAGGCAGCAGUGGGGAAUAUUGCACAAUGGGCGCAAGCCUGAUGCAGCCAUGCCGCGUGUAUGAAGAAGGCCUUCGGGUUGUAAAGUACUUUCAGCGGGGAGGAAGGGAGUAAAGUUAAUACCUUUGCUCAUUGACUUACCCACAGAAGAGCACCGUA